rnacentral:rRNA from 1 species
AUUGAACGCUGGCGGCAUGCCUUACACAUGCAAGUCGAACGGCAGCACGGACUUCGGUCUGGUGGCGAGUGGCGAACGGGUGAGUAAUGUAUCGGAACGUACCUGUCAGUGGGGGAUAACGUAGCGAAAGGUACGCUAAUACCGCAUAUUCUGUGAGCAGGAAAGCAGGGGAUCGAAAGACCUUGCGCUGAUUGAGCGGCCGAUAUCAGAUUAGCUAGUUGGUGGGGUAAAGGCCUACCAAGGCGACGAUCUGUAGCGGGUCUGAGAGGAUGAUCCGCCACACUGGAACUGAGACACGGUCCAGACUCCUACGGGAGGCAGCAGUGGGGAAUAUUGGACAAUGGGGGCAAGCCUGAUCCAGCCAUGCCGCGUGAGUGAAGAAGGUCUUCGGAUUGUAAAGCUCUUUCGGCCGGGAAGAAAGCGCGUAGGCUAAUACCUUGUGUGGAUGACGGUACCAGAAGAAGAAGCACCGGCUAACUACGUG